rnacentral:rRNA from 1 species
AACAAACGCUGGCGGCGUGCCUAAUACAUGCAAGUCGAACGGGGUAGCAAUACCUAGUGGCGCACGGGUGAGUAACGCGUGGAUAAUCUGCCUUAGAGUGGGGGAUAACUAGUCGAAAGAUUAGCUAAUACCGCAUAAGACCACAAGAGCUGCGGCUCAAGGGGUCAAAGGUUUUUCGCUCUAAGAUGAGUCCGCGUAAGAUUAGCUAGUUGGUGAGGUAAUGGCUCACCAAGGCGACGAUCUUUAACUGGUCUGAGAGGAUGAUCAGUCACACUGGAACUGAGACACGGUCCAGACUCCUACGGGAGGCAGCAGUAGGGAAUAUUGCACAAUGGAGGAAACUCUGAUGCAGCGACGCCGCGUGAGUGAUGAAGGCCUUCGGGGCGUAAAGCUCUGUCGCAGGGGAAUAACACAAUGAAUGUACCCUGUAAGAAAGGAUCGGCUAACUUCGUG